CCCGACGGCACCAGCACACCUCUGGAGAUCGUGCUGCUGGACAAGGUGUCCACAGGCUUCCCCGGUGUGGUGCUGCUGCUGGAGUGGUUUGAGCUCCCCAACGCCAUCGUGAUGGUGCUGGAGCGCCCGGAGCGGUGUCAGGACCUGCAACAUUUCAUUCAUGCACGGAGGUUGCUGUCUGAGGCAUCUAAAAUCCCUGCAGUCUCUGCCCCUGAGGCCACACCACAAUCUGUGACCAGGAGCCUCCUGUCGUUGUGGCAGGAGCCCUCAAGACCCAAGUGCAGGACUCGCUGUCUUGCAAUCUUGCCAGGACUUGAGUCUUGCAGGUGCCUUCCAGGCACGACUGCAGGACUUGCUGACUCCGAGCUUUUCCGAGCCAUUUCUCCUGCAAGUAGCCAUAAAUCCAGUCACUGCCAUGGAGCAGCGACCCCCAAGAGUGCCCAAGUUGGCCUGGCUUGAGGAGGAGGAAGAAGGCUCUGGAGCUGUCCCGGCACAGGAGUCUGAAGAGGUGCAGGAGUUCCAGGCACGACAGGAGGGAUGGGAGAGUCUGGAAGAAGAUACGGAGCAGCGACCACCAAGAGUGCCCAAACUGGCCUGGGUGGAGAAGGAAGAGGAGGAAGAGGAAGAAGGCCCUGGAGCUGCCCCAGCACCAGAGACCGAAGAGGUGCAGCAGUUGCAGCCGCUGGAGGAGGAUGCAGCCAUGGACGGCACACAAGAGCAGGACACCGCCCGUGGCCGCUUCCGCAGAGCAGCGCAGUUUCUUUACCAAUUCAUCACGAGAAUUGGCAAGGAAGACACCAGACCUAUGGACACUGAGGUCAAAGCAUCCUCAGAGGUCUUGGUAGAACAGAGCAGCGCUGCCCAGCUGGAUCUGCUUGUAGAGACGGCUCUUUUCAAUCCAGAGCAAGUGCCCGGCGUGGUGAGGUACAUCCACCAGUGGCUCAUGGCCAAUGAGGCUGCUGAGCACAGGAUGGACUGGGCCCUGAUGCAAGUGGCCGAGGCAGAGCCCGAUGAUGUGGCCAUCACUCUCCUGCGGGUGGCCCCAACGUGUGACAGAGCUGCUAUGGCCAUGUGGACGACCAUCUUGCUCUCGCCCUGGAUUUCAGAGGAAGUGACACCGCUCCUCAUCAAUGUGGUGGGGAGCUGGCCGCAGAAAAACCUGGGCACCUCUGAUGGGGACAAGACGGCUGUCUUUUCCCUGACUGUGAGUUUCUGGAGCUGGCCUUUGCUCACCGCAAGGCCGGCCACCUCUCCAGCAGCUCUGUUGCCUCCUUCCCCCACUGCAUCUCCCUGCUUCAGGCACUGGC
ensembl:lncRNA